rnacentral:rRNA from 1 species
AUUGAACGCUGGCGGCAUGCCUUACACAUGCAAGUCGAACGGUAACGGGCCUUCGGGUGCCGACGAGUGGCGAACGGGUGAGUAAUGCAUCGGAACGUACCUUUCAGUGGGGGAUAACGUAGCGAAAGUUACGCUAAUACCGCAUAUUCUGUGAGCAGGAAAGCAGGGGAUCGCAAGACCUUGCGCUGAUUGAGCGGCCGAUGUCAGAUUAGCUAGUUGGUGAGGUAAAGGCUCACCAAGGCGACGAUCUGUAGCGGGUCUGAGAGGAUGAUCCGCCACACUGGAACUGAGACACGGUCCAGACUCCUACGGGAGGCAGCAGUGGGGAUUUGGACAAUGGGGCAACCCUGAUCCAGCCAUGCCGCGUGAGUGAAGAAGGCC